rnacentral:tRNA from 2 species
GCCGAAGUGGUGGAAUUGGCAGACACGCAGUCUUGAGGGGGCUGUGCCUUCGGGCGUGCGGGUUCGACUCCCGCCUUCGGCACCA